AUAAUUAUAGUCUUUGAUGAUAACACGGUUAGAAAGGAAAACUUAAUGAUAGUUUAUGAGAGUUCUGUAACCAGCAACAAAGCCAGAGUAACAUUCCCAUCUUCUACCCAUCAUUCAAUAGAAAUGAGCAGCAUUACAUACCAGUUGUGAGCACCUAGUAAUUGGUCUUAUAUGCUUCUGAGCCUGUCACAGGAGGAUGAUAGAUAAGAUUAACUUUCAAAGAAGCUGCCGCCAACUCGUGAGCACACACCUAGGCCCGUCUUCGUAGACACACAACUUAAGUUGCUUUGCCAUAAUGUUGACUAUGGGCUGAGGUGAGCAAUUGAAGGGCUUAUGAAAGUCCAUGAUCAUGGGUUGAAUGUCAAAAAGUGGCAAACAUUAUCUUCUACAAUUAGAGAUGGUCAGUGCCUCAUAAGUUGUCGUUAGAUUACCACUGCAUGGCAUACAUAAAAAAUUACAAAUUGUAUCACAUGGCCUUAAAUCACCAGUAUUUUAUUUUGAAUUUUGAUCAAUUAUAAGAGAAAAUGGUAUUAAAAGAAAUGUUAUGAUAAGAUCUAUCAUAACAUGUCUGGAAAAAAAAUAUUUGUAGCGAGAUAUUACAUGACUAGAUGCACAUAGUAGAUAGAUGAGUACUUGUUUAAGAA
rnacentral:lncRNA from 1 species